GAUGAACGCUAGCGGCAGGCCUAAUACAUGCAAGUCGAACGGUGUCUUCGGACAUAGUGGCGCACGGGUGCGUAACACGUAUGCAACCUACCUUACAUUGGGGGAUGGCCUUUCGAAAGGGAGAUUAAUACCGCAUAAGACAGUAGCUGGGCAUCCAGCAGCUGUUAAAGAUUUAUCGAUGUAAGCUGGGCAUGCGUCCAAUUAGCUAGUUGGUAAGGUAACGGCUCACCAAGGCAAUGAUUGGUAGGGGAACUGAGAGGUCAAUUCCCCACACUGGCACUGAGAUACGGGCCAGACUCCUAUGGGAGGCAGCAGUAGGGAAUAUUGGGCAAUGGACGCAAGUCUGACCCAGCCAUGCCGCGUGCAGGAUGAAGGCGUUAUGCGUUGUAAACUGCUUUUAUACAGGAAGAAACGACUCUUGCGAGAGGCAUUGACGGUACUGUAUGAAUAAGCACCGGCUAACUCCGUGCCAGCCGCCGCUGUAAAAC
rnacentral:rRNA from 1 species